CGCGUAGGCGGUCGACCAAGUCAGGGGUGAAAUCCUGCAGCUUAACUGUAGAAGUGCCUUUGAUACUGGUCGUCUGGAGGGAGAUAGGGGUGUGUGGAACUCACAGUGGAGCGGUGAAAUGCGUUGAUAUUGUGAGGAACGCCGGAGGCGAAAGCGACGCACUGGAUCUCUUCUGACGCUGAGGCGCGAAAGCUAGGGGAGCAAACGGGAUUAGAUACCCCGGUAGUCCUAGCCCUAAACGAUGAGUACUAGAUUGUAGACUAUCAUGGGUUUACAGUCGAAGCAAAAGUGUUAAGUACUCCGCCUGGGGAGUAUGGUCGCAAGGCUGAA
rnacentral:rRNA from 1 species